GGGGAUGUAUCUCAGUGAUAGAGCACUUGCCUAGUAUGCAUGAGGCCCUGGGUGCAAUCCUCAGUAUUGUCA
rnacentral:tRNA from 1 species